UAUAGAGGCCACGCCUCCUGCGAUUUCAACACGGACAGCAAGUUAGAACAAAGAGCAUACGUGAAAUUCUGUAUAAAAAGGCAAAUCUGCCACAAAGAUGUUAGACAUGAUUCAGCAAGUUUACCAAAAGAGGUGAUGCAGGUCUGCAGCUCGAACAAGUGCAUGUUCAUUGUCUUUUUCAGCAUUGUUCAUUAAGAAAUUGUCUCCAGGGGCCACACCGUCAAUAGCCACCAUCUGAGGAAGGCCAUUCAGCAAAAGCAACCAGAUCUGUAGCACUCUAGUCUCGAAAACUUUUCAUACCACGUCUUAUAAACUUCAAUGGAUUUCAAGUUCAUAGGCCACACCCACUUUUAUAAUUCAGUUUUACUCAUUAUUGGCUCCUGGUUUAUUGAACCCUCACAGGUUUCAAGACCUCAUCCUGUAGAUAUGUUUUUGUAUUCUGGAUUGACGUUAGUGUCAUAACAGUGUAAUUUCUGUGAUGCAUUUGUCAUCAAAUCUCCAGGAAAAUUUCCUGCAUUUCCAAAAGCCUGCUGAGCCUCAGUGAAUCCCUCGAGGCUGCAGCGCGACACUUUCUAAAGUCCAACAUGUGAUCUCACGGAUGAGGAAGUUCUAACAGACAGGUUUAAUGUCAGGUGUAUGGAAGUGGAAAUGAUGCAAAGCACUGAAACCCACUGGAUUAGAAUAAGAGAGAUGAAGUGUGAGCUGAUGGAAGCAAUAAGUGAAGAAGAGAAUAGUUAGAGACACCCACAAGAUUACAACUGUUUUCCAGUCCAGGUGAGAACAUUACUCUGCUUUCUGGUCCAGCUGAGGACAUCUUUCUGCUUCCCGGUCCAGCUGAGGACAUCUUUCUGCUUCCUGGUUCAGCUGAGGACAUCUUUCUGCUUUAACACGACAUCUCAGAAAGUUUCUGCAGCUGAUGAGCAAAAAGUCCACUAUAUGGUCACAUAAGAAGUGGUGGUUUCAUUUGUAAUAAUGAACAAACACAGAAUCACCACAUCACUCGUCAAUCCGAGGCAAAAUUCUUCCAAGUUUCGGGGUCGAUCUGAACAUUCUGGAGCUCGUCUACUGAGUGACUCAUCAGAACACGUGACAGGAUCCUCUAAAACUCAGAUCUCACAACACACUCGCUUCCUAUGAGUUCUCAUGGGCUACAUUUCUAUUUUACAUUUAAGACACGAGAGGUGUCUGAAAAUAUCACACUCUAAAACCUAGUGAAACAUCUUCCCAGAAGAGUGGAACCAAUCUUAUGGUCAGGUGGUCGAGAGAGAAAUCAGGGUUCAGAGAUCUCUUUAAUACUGAAAUUCUCACAUCUCCUUCAUUUCUCGUCUGUGAUUUAUAGCGGAGUGGAGCUUUUCUACAGGAACCUCACUCUGCUGCUCCAGAUGUGCAGAUGCACAAACACGUCACGUGUCGCAUUUACAACAAAAAACCCUGCUGUAUUUCUUAAAAAUCUACAGAAGACAUGUGUGUAUUUUUG